GAGCGCUUAGCAAUGGCAUCGGCAGACGGUAUGAGUAACACGUGGGGAUCUACCCAAUGGUACGGAAUAACCCAGGGAAACUUGGACUAAUACCGUAUGUGCCCUUCGGGGGAAAGAUUUAUCGCCAUUGGAUGAACCCGCGUCGGAUUAGCUAGUUGGUGAGGUAAAGGCUCACCAAGGCGACGAUCCGUAGCUGGUCUGAGAGGAUGAUCAGCCACACUGGGACUGAGACACGGCCCAGACUCCUACGGGAGGCAGCAGUGGGGAAUAUUGGACAAUGGGCGCAAGCCUGAUCCAGCCAUGCCGCGUGUGUGAUGAAGGCCUUAGGGUUGUAAAGCACUUUCGCCGGUGAAGAUAAUGACGGUAACCGGAGAAGAAGCCCCGGCUAACUUCGUGCCAGCAGCCGCGGUAAUACGAAGGGGGCAAGCGUUGCUCGGAAUCACUGGGCGUAAAGCGCACGUAGGCGGGUUGUUAAGUCAGAGGUGAAAUCCUGGAGCUCAACUCCAGAACUGCCUUUGAUACUGGCGACCUUGAGUUCGAGAGAGGUUGGUGGAACUGCGAGUGUAGAGGUGAAAUUCGUAGAUAUUCGCAAGAACACCAGUGGCGAAAGCGGCCAACUGGCUCGAUACUGACGCUGAAGUGCGAAAGCCUGGGGAGCAAACAGGAUUAGAUACCCUGG
rnacentral:rRNA from 1 species